AGAGUUUGAUCCUGGCUCAGGAUGAACGCUGGCGGCGUGCCUAAUACAUGCAAGUCGAGCGAACGGACGAGAAGCUUGCUUCUCUGAUGUUAGCGGCGGACGGGUGAGUAACACGUGGAUAACCUACCUAUAAGACUGGGAUAACUUCGGGAAACCGGAGCUAAUACCGGAUAAUAUUUUGAACCGCAUGGUUCAAAAGUGAAAGACGGUCUUGCUGUCACUUAUAGAUGGAUCCGCGCUGCAUUAGCUAGUUGGUAAGGUAACGGCUUACCAAGGCAACGAUGCAUAGCCGACCUGAGAGGGUGAUCGGCCACACUGGAACUGAGACACGGUCCAGACUCCUACGGGAGGCAGCAGUAGGGAAUCUUCCGCAAUGGGCGAAAGCCUGACGGAGCAACGCCGCGUGAGUGAUGAAGGUCUUCGGAUCGUAAAACUCUGUUAUUAGGGAAGAACAUAUGUGUAAGUAACUGUGCACAUCUUGACGGUACCUAAUCAGAAAGCCACGGCUAACUACGUGCCAGCAGCCGCGGUAAUACGUAGGUGGCAAGCGUUAUCCGGAAUUAUUGGGCGUAAAGCGCGCGUAGGCGGUUUUUUAAGUCUGAUGUGAAAGCCCACGGCUCAACCGUGGAGGGUCAUUGGAAACUGGAAAACUUGAGUGCAGAAGAGGAAAGUGGAAUUCCAUGUGUAGCGGUGAAAUGCGCAGAGAUAUGGAGGAACACCAGUGGCGAAGGCGACUUUCUGGUCUGUAACUGACGCUGAUGUGCGAAAGCGUGGGGAUCAAACAGGAUUAGAUACCCUGGUAGUCCACGCCGUAAACGAUGAGUGCUAAGUGUUAGGGGGUUUCCGCCCCUUAGUGCUGCAGCUAACGCAUUAAGCACUCCGCCUGGGGAGUACGACCGCAAGGUUGAAACUCAAAGGAAUUGACGGGGACCCGCACAAGCGGUGGAGCAUGUGGUUUAAUUCGAAGCAACGCGAAGAACCUUACCAAAUCUUGACAUCCUUUGACAACUCUAGAGAUAGAGCCUUCCCCUUCGGGGGCAAAGUGACAGGUGGUGCAUGGUUGUCGUCAGCUCGUGUCGUGAGAUGUUGGGUUAAGUCCCGCAACGAGCGCAACCCUUAAGCUUAGUUGCCAUCAUUAAGUUGGGCACUCUAAGUUGACUGCCGGUGACAAACCGGAGGAAGGUGGGGAUGACGUCAAAUCAUCAUGCCCCUUAUGAUUUGGGCUACACACGUGCUACAAUGGACAAUACAAAGGGCAGCGAAACCGCGAGGUCAAGCAAAUCCCAUAAAGUUGUUCUCAGUUCGGAUUGUAGUCUGCAACUCGACUACAUGAAGCUGGAAUCGCUAGUAAUCGUAGAUCAGCAUGCUACGGUGAAUACGUUCCCGGGUCUUGUACACACCGCCCGUCACACCACGAGAGUUUGUAACACCCGAAGCCGGUGGAGUAACCUUUUAGGAGCUAGCCGUCGAAGGUGGGACAAAUGAUUGGGGUGAAGUCGUAACAAGGUAGCCGUAUCGGAAGGUGCGGCUGGAUCACCU
rnacentral:rRNA from 1 species